AAUGAUUCAUUCUCGCGAAAUACAAAAAACAGUGAGCAAACGCAUUUUACACGAUUUUGUUUUGGAAAACGGAAAACGCCAAAACAAAACCAGUACCAAACCCACCUUGUUUAAAAUCCUAAAAUUUUGUCGCCAAGGACUGCUUACUUUGGAACACGGCGCGGUCCCAGAACUGCCGUCGUUUUGGUGGUCUGAAGUGUGAAGAUAAACACGACGACCUUUUUCGUGAAUUCCGGAGGCAUCAUAAAACGAAUCAGCUGAGGCGUUCUUGUUCUUCCCCUUUGCAGUAAGGAGCACGAGCUGGUGAGUGAAUUCUUUCAACUGAACGAAAUUCAAUUACAUUAGUAUUAUCUGUAAGUUUUCGUUUUCGAAGAUGUAUGGAUUAUUUUAUAGAAGUAAUGGAAGGCUAUCACUAGCACAAGUGUUAUCAAAUAGUAAUAGGUCUAUUGCGCAAGAUUUAGCCACCUCUUAUUUGGAUUUGUUUUCUGGUUUGGGUUUGAAUGUUCAGAACGCAAGGUUGUUUAAUCCUUUUGGCGUUAAGUUAUUCUCAACUGAAGACGAACAAAUUAAAAGGAAAGUGCCAAAAGAAUGCUCAUUUACGGUGUCAUACCUCAUAAACUCAUGUGGGUUGUCCCUAAAAAUUGCAAAAUCUGUUGCCGAAAGAGUAAAGCUUCAAUCUUCGAAACUACCAGACUCAGUCCUUCAAUUUUUGAAAAAUCGUGGAUUCAAUGGUUCCCAAAUUGCUAAACUUGUUAGGGUGGCGCCCACAGUUACUUUUUGCCCAUCCCAAGAGGUCUCUCUUACCUAAAAUUGAGUUCUUGAAUUCUAUUGGGGCCACAGACGCUGAACUUGCUGAUGCUUGCUCGUCAAUCCCAGCCAUUUUGGGUCAAAGCUUGGAGAAUGUACUCAUUCCCAAUUAUAAAUUCCUCAAAAGUGUGUUUUUCUCUGAUGAAAAUGUUAUUAAAGUUUUGAGGAAAAAAAGAACGCGGUUAUUUUGUUUUGAUUUGCAGAAGACUGUGUCUCCGAAACUUGCAUUCUUGAGAGACCUUGGAAUGCUCGAGGCCAAUUUUGCACUGAUUUUAUCAUGUUAUCCCCCUAUUGUCCUCCAAAGACAGGAUAAGUUUGAUGGAAAUGUUAAGAAGGUCAUCAAAAUGGGUUUUAAUCCUCAAAAAUGUGAAUUUGUCCAUGCAAUGCAAGUAUUUUCUUCAAUUGGUCAAUCAACUCUGGAGUGCAAAUUGGAUGUCUUGAGGAGGUGGGGUUGGUCUGAUGAGGACAUUAGGUUGGCAUUUAGAAAGUGUCCCAUUUAAAUGACUGCAUCUAAGACCAAAUUAGUCAGCGUAUUCAAUUUUUUGGUAAACAAGAUGGGUUGGCAGCCUUCAGCUAUUGCCCAUGUUCCAAGUGCUUUUAUGUAUAGUUUGGAGAGGAGGAUCAUCCCCCGUUGUUCAGUUAUAAGAGUUUUGCUUUCAAAGGGCUUGAUCAAUGAAGAAAAUAAAAUCUGUUUAUCUUCUCUGGUGAUAAACUCUAACAAGCACUUCUUGGAUACAUUCGUGACCAAAUAUCAGGAUCAUGUGCCUCAAUUGUUGAAUAUCUUUCAUGGGAAAAUGACUAUUGGAGAACUAGGCUUAGAAUUUGAGCCACAGUCUGUCAUGAAGAAUUGUAGCGCAUAAAUGUCAAUACGAUGAAUUCUUUUUACACUGUGCCCGAGUUCUUCUUGGUUGUAGUUGUAGCAUAGUAGAUUCAUCACUUAUGCUUUUUUGGGUAUCUUUUUGUGCUUCAUGCUUCUUUUAUCGGAGAAAUGACAGUCAUCCAUUUUGCCUCACUGCUCUUGGUGGACUUAAAAUGGUUUGUUUCACUAGUCUUUUCUAGCCUGCUAUUUGCUUAACUUGAUCUAGAUUUCUUCUUUUAUGAGGAGAGAAUAAGCUUCUACAGCCCUGUUUUUCUAUGCCUGAAUUUUGUUAUAUGAUGUUGCUCUUGGUCCCAACUCAAACAGAACUUGUACCUUUCAUCUUUAUCAUUUAUGAAUCAUGGGAAAUGUUUUGACGCGGACAACUGAUAUACUUUCCUGUCAUCUGUUAUGUUGGCAGUAGUUUCAUGAUCUUGGCUUUUUUGAUGGAGGAUUAGUUGGAUUAACAUAAACCCUUAGGGGGCUGCUGGAUCACAACCUUUGGCUUCUUCGUACAGCCACAGAUCUGUAAGAUUUUUAGCCUUCUUGAAGAUUGGACUAAAGAAGUAAAACUGCAAAUGGAUACAUAUAAUCCUGGAUAAUUUAGGAUUCCCAAUUUAUUUGUAAUGAAAUAUUUCUUUUAUUCUUUAGGAAAAAAGACUUGGCUGGGGUAGACAUACUAUUUAUUUUUAAUGGUUAUUUAGUAGAAUGUUACUGCAUUUAUUUUGAAAUUGACCGAUUAUGAUAGUAGUUACAGGAGUGACAAAAUACAUUCAUGGCAUUAUUUUAUUGGAUUGUCCUAUUGAUAAACAAUUAGCAAAAUUCAUACACUUUGAUGUGUGUAGUUCUUUGCUGUGGAUACUUUCUCUGACUGAGAACUUGUGUGGGUUAGGCUGCCAAGGUGAUGCGUCUGAGAACUUAUGUGGGUUAGGCUGCUAAGGUGGUGCGACUGAUCAGGCGGGACCCAAAAACUAAAUUAUAUGUAUGUGGGUCUGUCAAAGCAGCAUAAGAUGUAAUAGUCUUUCAUCAAUCUCUCUCUCUAUCUCUCUUCUUUUUUUCUUUUUUUUCUGGGAGCCUUUUUCAUCCAUUUGUCUAAAUGAGAAAGAAACAGCUUCUAAAUUUUAAUAGUCAUUUUGGAUCAAGUCGAAGUCCAGCCCAUCUUAGUUGUUCAAUAAUUAUUACAAUUGGGUUUAAAUUGCGGCCCAUUCGCUAAUAUGUUUGCUCAAGUUAGAUGGUGAACAAUCUUUUUUUUUUUUU
rnacentral:lncRNA from 1 species